rnacentral:lncRNA from 1 species
AGAGUGGUUUCUAUCAGAGCCCAGGUGACAACAGAGGCUCCUGCUAAAGUUGAGAAGAUUUCAAAGAAACAAGAUGAGGGUGUAGUUGUAAACAAAUUCAGGCCAAAGGAACCUUACGUUGGUAGAUGUCUACUCAACACUAAGAUCACUGGUGAUGAUGCUCCUGGUGAAACUUGGCACAUGGUCUUUAGCACUGAGGGUAUGGCCUUAAUCAAAAUAUGAUCUUCUUUUUUGUUCCUUUUAGUUAAGUUUGUUGGAGCUGAAGUACUUUUGUUGGAUUUAUUAGGAGAGAUCCCAUACAGAGAAGGACAAUCCAUUGGUGUGAUUGCUGAUGGUGUUGAUGCCAAUGGGAAGCCUCACAAGCUUAGAUUGUACUCCAUUGCUAGCAGUGCCCUUGGUGACUUCGGCGACUCCAAAACCGUAAGUUUUCAAUUCCUAUUUAGUAAAAAAUUUCCAUAUACUACAGUUCAAUUUUAACAGAUCAAAUAAACGUAUGCAUAGAGUGUGAUUAAACUAUAGUAGUUGUUUAGGGGCCUGCAAGUUUGCCGAUAAGUGUGUGUGUCUGAACUUAAGGUUUUAUACAGGUUUCUCUGUGCGUCAAAAGGCUUGUCUACACCAAUGACAAAGGGGAAGAAGUUAAAGGAGUUUGCUCUAACUUCUUAUGUAAGAAUCAGCGACUCCCUAAUUUCAUAGACGAUGUUAAUGUUUAUCUGUUUUAUCUUAGUUUUCCAGUACAUAUUAGAUUAAAAGUGACUGCUCCUAAUAUACAGUAGGAGUACAAGAAUAAGUUUAGCCCUGCUUAUAUGUAACUUCAAAUGUUUCGUAUUUCAGGUGACUUGAAACCUGGAGCUGAGGUCAACAUUACUGGACCUGUUGGGAAAGAAAUGCUCAUGCCUAAAGAUCCAAAUGCCACCGUUGUUAUGGUGAGUUUUUCUUUAGCUAGUUUAUUGUCAUCUAAGUCAAUUUCUGCUGCCUUUUUAGUUGACUAUGCAUUUUUUGCUAAUUCGAAUUUGUCAAUCAGC